GCCCUCGCAAAGGCACAGCGCGGGCGCAGGCGCGGGGCGGUGCACAGCGCGGGCGCAGGCGCCGAGAGGCGCACGGGAGACCUCAGGCCCAGACUCCACUCCCCAGCUGUGAAAGGACUGCUGGCCAGACCCCCAAGCUAGCCCGCCAGGCCUCCAUAGAGCUGCCCAGCAUGGCUGCGUCCAGUACCAAGAGUUGGUGGGAGACGGGUGAGGUACAGGCUCAGUCUGCGGCCAAGACUCCGUCCUGCAAGGAUAUUGUGGCUGGAGACAUGAGCAAGAAAAGCCUCUGGGAGCAGAAGGGAGGCUCCAAGACCUCAUCAACAAUUAAGGUCGACAGCCAAAAGCGGGAGGUAUCCAAAGCUGCAAGAGAAGAGAAAAUGGCCUGUGGUGGGGAGCAGCUUCCAAGCCACCAUGGAGGCCCCACUCAAGUCCCAGGCCUCAUGGGAGCUGACCCUGAUGCACGGGGACUGAGUCACCCCUGACAGAACAAUAAGGAGACCUCGUGGCAUUUCCCAUCUCCACAGAAACCACCAAAUCCAUGUCUGCCAUGAUCCUGCUCACUUCCUCACCCACCCUUCCCUGCAAUCCAUCCCUAAUGAGCGCUCUUUGAACCCAUCCAACUCUCUCCAUCUCUACAGCCCUCGCCCAGCCUCAGUUUCCUCAUUUGAAAGAUGGGAAUUCUAACACGUGUCUGAGAGGGCUUAGAUGAGAAUUAAGUUUGCAAAACUGAAAGCAGUGACUUUUGUUUGUGUUGCUCACGGAACCUACACACUGUUCCCUGCUUCUCAGGCUCUUCUCUGUCCCAGUUCUCUCCCUUUCUGCCACCCCUUGAGUUGUCAGGCUCCUCACUCCUGCUUCAGGCUGCACCCUUCUUCAGCUUCCUCCACUCCCUGGCUGUGGCAGGCAGCCUCUAGGAUGACCCUCAAUGAUCCCCAGCUCCUGCAGUCACCCUCUUGUGGAGUCCCCACCCCUUUAGUGUGGGAUGCACCUAACGACUCACUUCCAACUCACAAAAUAUGGCAAAAGACACAGGAAGUCACUUCUGAAAUUAGGUUGCAAAAGGACCUGUUAUCCCUCUUGCUCAUCUUCUCCUGAAAGACAGGUGGCAGAGCUGCCAUGCUGCGAAGCACCCUACGCGGCAAGGGGCCCAGGGAGUACUCCUGUCAACAGCCAGCAAGGAACUCAGACCCUCAGCCCAACAAGCCACAGCUGAAUCCUGCCAACAGUCACAUGAGUAGAUUUGGAAACAAAUCCUCUGCCACCUCUCGGAAAGUCAAGCCUUGAAAUGAAUGCAGCCCCAGCCAACAGUUUCAGCCUGGGAAUGGCCCUGUGCAGAGAUACUCAGCUAAAACUGUAGUUGGAUUCAUAAGUCAGAGAAACUAUGAAAUCAUAAAUGUACAUUGUUUUAAGUUGCUGAGUAUUGGGGUGGUCUCUUCCAUAGCAAUACGUAACUGAGACACAUAGCCUUCAUUUGUAUCUCCAUACAGAACACUCCCUGGUAUAUACAGCCGACCUCUGUAUCCAGGGACCUGUGUCUGUGGAUUGAACCAACCACAGAUCAAAAAUAUUCAAAAAGUAGGCUGGGCACAGUGGUUCACACCUAUAAUCCCAGAACUUUGGGAGGCCGAGGCAGGUGGAUCACCUGAGGUCAGGAGUUCAAGGCCAGCCUGGCCAACAUGGUGAAACCCCAUCUCUACUAAAAAUGCAAAAAAUUAGCAAGGUGUAGCGGCAUGUGCCUGUAAUCCCAGCUACUCAGGGGGCUGAGGCAGGAGAAUCCCCUGAACCCAGGAGGCGAAGCUUGCAGUAAGCCAAGAUCAUGCCACUGCACUCCAGCCUGGGCAACAGUGAAGCUCGGUCUCAAAAAAUAAAAAUAAAUUAAUUAAAAAAAUAAAAUGGUUUGUUGUGUCUGUACUGAAUAGGUACAAACUUUCUUCUUGUCAUUAUUCUCUGAACAAUACAAUGUAACAACUAUUUACAUAGCAUUUAAAUUGUAUUAGGUAUUCUAAGUAAUCUAGAGAUGUCUUAAAGUGUACGGGAGGAUGGGUAGGUUACAUGCAAGUAUUACCCCAUUUUAUAUAUAGGACUUGAGCAUCUGUGCAUUUGGUAUACACCACGGGGGCCCUGGAACCAAGACCCCUCUCUUCUGCUUUGCUUACUGGCUGCUGUGACUCUUAGGAGCUCUCCUACUUGUUCGGCGGGUCCCUCCCAGUCUCCUUUGCUGUUUCAUCCUUUGCUCUGCCUCUUAAUGUUAGCCAGCAUCCAGGGCUCAUUCCUGGGUCCCUUUCUAUUCUCUCUACACAUGAACCCUGGGGCUCUCUCCCAGUCCCUGGUUGUAAAUACCAGCUAUAGGCCUAUGACUUCCCAGUCUCAAUCUCCAGCCUGGACCACUUCCAAGAACCCCAGACUCAUAGUUUCCGGUGGCAACUUGGGUGUCUAAAACACAUCUCAAACUCAACCCACCUUCCCCAUUUCUCCAUCUGCUCAGCUACAUCGUCCUCCCAGGUGGUCCAUCGAGGCUCCAGGUGUCAACCUUAUCUCCCUCCUACUCUCAUAACCAUGCCCUCUCCCAUCCAGUCCCUCAGCGCAUCUCCACUGUGCACCUCCAAAGCAGUAUCUUCAGCCCACCUGUGGCUCUCUCUCUCCACCUGUCCAGCCGGCCUCUCUCACCUGGACCAUGGCGGUGGCCCCGUGCCUGGUCUCCCAGCUCGAACUAGGGUUCCACUCGGCCACCAGAUUUACAUUAUAUGGAAAUCAGAUCCUGUCCCUACCUUGAUUAAACCCCUAAAGUCUUCCCAAAAUAUUUAAAAUAAAUUCUACACUCCCGCACUGAGUGAUAAAGUGCUCUGUUAGCUGAUUUCUAACCACCCACGCUUCUCCCCACUCACCCCACCCACAUUGCAGGCAACCCUUCUUCCUGUUUCUCAAACCAGACCCGCUCACUCCCACUGGGGGUUUAUACCAGCCGUUGUUCCCUCUGCCCUGAACAUGCGUGGCCAACCCCUUCCUGUCUCAUGUCACCCUUCAGCGAGGCCUUCCCGCUAAGCUGGUCCAUCUGAUCUACAAUGGCAGCCCAAGAGCUAUUUCCCACACCCUCCUUUUCCACUUCUCUGCUUAACACGGGUACACUAUAAGGUGUCUUUCUUGCUCAGUUGAUGGUUUCACCUGCUGUUGCCUGGUUUGUAAGCCCCAUAAGAGGAAGACCAGAGAUCUUGGUCAUUGCUGUACCCUCACCAUUCAUAGCAGUCCCUGUACCUCUGUAGGUACUUAAGGGACACCUUUUAAAAGAAGGGUGAGAGGAAGGGCAAGGGAGACAGGGAGGAAAAGGGAGAAGAAAGGAAGGCAGGAAAAUGGGACCUCUUUUCUGAAAUCCACAUCUUUAUAUGUGCUGUUUAGUUGGCUGGAAAUUCUUGUUACUUAUCCUAUUGAGAAGUGGCCUAUGACCUCUUUCUUUGAAUCUAGAUGGACUCUGUGACUACAUGACUAAUAAAAUAUGGCAGAAAUGACACCAUGCAGUUUCCAAGCCCAGGCCUUAGGAGACAGGCAGCUUCCAGUUCAGUCUUUUGGAGGGUCAGCUCUGGGGCCCUCAGCCAUCACGCAUGGAGUCCAACCACCCUGAGACGUCAUGCUGGAGACCCACCUGUGGAUGCCCCAGUCAAGAGUCCUGGCUGAGCCCAGCCUCCCAGCCACCCCCACCCAAGGCAUCAGACCACGAAGCUUCUGGCCAAGGCUUCACCAACUUCACUUGAUGCUGUGAGGAACAGAACUGCCCAUCCAAGCCCUGCCAGAAUUUCUAACCCACAAAGCCAUGAGUCACAAUAAAUGCCAUGGGACAAAAACAGUCAUGCAUGUUGCUUUUGUCAUACAUUAGUGGUAGUUCAUCGCACGGCAAUAGAAAACCAAAAUACCUGUCUACUGGGUUCGUCCAUUUGGAUGCCACAGAGGCACCUGAAACAGAACACGUUCAUUACUUAACUCUGGUUCUUCCUUCCACACUGACCUCCACCCACUGCUCCCAAGGUUGCCCCUCCUCCAGAGUCCUCCAUCUCCAACAUAGUAUCACCAUCUCCCCAGGAACUCAAGUGUGAAGGCAGGGGUCAUGUUUGGCAUCUGUCACCCUUUGCGAGUUGCAACCUGGAGACCCUGGAGGGUGUUAUGAUGAGUGAAAUAACCUAAUCACAAAAGGACUAAUACUCCACAAAUUCACUUAUAUGAGGAGUCUAGGAGUCAAAUUCCUAGAGACUGAAAGAACGGUGGUUGUCAGGGGCUGGGGAGAAUGGGGAGUUCAUAUUUAAUGGGGACAGAGUUUCAGUUUUGCCAGAUGAGAAUAACCUGGAAAUGGAUGGUGUGAUGUUUGCACAAUGUGAACGUACUUUACUCCACUAUACAUUUGAAAGUGAGUGCAAUGGAAAAGUUUAUGUGAUGAGUUUUUUACCACAAUUAAAAAUAUAACAAAAUAA